rnacentral:rRNA from 1 species
GACGAACGCUGGCGGCAUGCUUAACACAUGCAAGUCGAACGGAACCUUCCGGCCUUUUUGCGCUGGUCUGCGUACGGCCGGGGGACUUACCCGUAGGUACCCUGCCACUGACAUUAGGUUAACCUAAGACAGCUGGAUCUCAUCCGGCCUAAGAUUUACUGCCUCAUGGUGGGGGUGGGUAAGAUUCGGCGGUUGGGGAUGUAGUGGCGGACUAUGAGGUUGAUGCUGGGGUAGUGGCAUACCAAGGUCUGGACGGGUAGCCGGCCUGAGAGGGUGACCGGCCACAGUGGGACUGGGAUACGGCCCAGACUCCUACGGGAGGGAGCAGUGGGGAUUAUUGCACAAUGGGCGGAAGCCUGAUGCAGCAACGCCGCGUGCGCGAGAACGGCCUUCGGGUUGGGAUCCUAAUGCUCUUUUAACGAAGCGUAAGUGACGGUAAUGGGUAAAGAAGCACCCGCUAACUACCUG